rnacentral:tRNA from 1 species
GAGGGUAUAGCUCAAGUGGUAGAGUGCAUGCUUAGCAUGCAUGAAGUCCUGGGUUCAAUUUCCAGCAUCUUCU